AAGGGCACCACAAGAGCGUGGAGCAUGUGGCUUAAUUUGACUCAACGCGGGGAAUCUUACCGGGUCCGGACACACUGAGGAUUGACAGACAAUUGUCUUUUUGUCAAAUUUAAAGACAAAAGAUAACAGAUCUUUCAUGAUUAUGUGAUGGGUGGUGCAUGGCCGUUCUUAGUUCGUGGAGUGAUCUGUCUGCUUAAUUGCGUUUCAAAUAUAUUUUAUUAUAUAACGAGUCUACAAAGGAGUGGUUCAUUAACAGACAAUCAUAUCUUUGAGCGUCUGGAAUCUACUCUAUUUGGCUCAAUUGAACGCAACGGACGUGAUCGCGAGUCCUUGUUGAACUUCAGUAUAUAUUGACUAUCCCCGUAGGAAGGGAUUGGCAAUAAUUGAAUGUUCGCUUUCUAUUAGGUGUGUAUAUAUAGUCUCAAAAUUACAUGUAUUUGUAAUGGCGAGUAAUAUUUAUACUAUCCUGUAGGAAAACUCGGGCGACCGCUGUAAUAUUUCUCUUUAAAACAGAAGAAGAUUGCGGCAAUAACAGGUCUGUGAUGCCCUCAGAUGUCCCGGGCCGCACACGUGCUACAUUGAUUAGCGCAGUGCGCAUACUUUCAAUAUGAUACAUUAGAUUGGAUUGUUCUGUUGAGCUCCAUCUAAUACUAUCCGGCUUGAGAAGGCUGGGUAAUCAAUUGUAAGUGCUGGUUCCUCCUCCCGUUGAGCAUUUUAAUAAUGGCCUCUCUACAUCCCUAGCAAUAUGCCUAGUGCGAUUGUAGUUGAGCCUUGCCAUUUAUGCAAGUGUCAAUUCUCAGUGGGGACAGACAUUUGAUAAUACUUUGUCUCGUUCUUAACUAGGAAUGCCUUGUACGGGUCUUGGUUCAACAGACCACCCGGAAUACGUCCCUGCCCUUUGUACACACCGCCCGUCGCUCUUACCGAUGAAUUUCCCUGUGAGUUUGAAGGACUGAUGGUUGCAAAAUCAUUGGAAAUUCUGUCAAACAGCGAGAUUUAAAGGAAAGAGAAGUCGUAACAAGGCAUCAGUAGGUGAACCUGCUGAUGGAUCA
rnacentral:rRNA from 1 species